rnacentral:lncRNA from 1 species
AUGAACCCAACACAUAUAAGGAAGCUUCAAAUUAAAUAAUCCAAAAUAGGUAGAAGCAAUGAAAAAAGAGAUGGAUGCAUUAUUAGAAAAUAACCUCCAUUUCAUCAUCCAAAUUGAAAGGACUUCAUCUUCAAGCCAUGGAGAAAGAGAAGAAGAAAGGAAAGCUUCAUUUUAUAAUCAUCCCAUACCUAGCCCCGGGCCAUAUACUCCCAUCUAUUGAUUUUGGCCGUCUACUAACCAGUCGUGGAAAUGUAGUAACAAUAAUCACUACAACUCCGGCUUACGUUGCGCGUUUCACACAUUUCAAAACAACGACCGCAAACCAACCACCUAUUCGGUUCGCAGGUGUGCCUCCUAGGCAAGGAGGGUGCGAGAGCGCAUAUGAAGUAAAAGAUCCUCUAUGUGUGUUUGAAAUAUCUAAGGGGGUGAAAGAUCUAGUGAAGGAAUGGAUUGAAAAAGAGAAGAUGGGUGUUUAUGGUGAUAUUCCGAUUUGCAUGGUAUCAGAUUAUUGCCAAACAUGGACGAGAAACGUUGCGUCCGAGUUUGGGUUGGUGAGAUUUGUGUUCAAUUGUAUUGGAAGCUUACCGUCGUUGUGUGAAGCAAUCUUGCAAAAGAGCUAUGGCGAAAUAGCAGAGGAGGAAAUAAUUGAUAAUAGAGAGAAGGUUAUAAAAGGAAUACCAGAAUAUGGCAGUGACAAAAGGAAAAGUUUCCGGUUUCUUUCCCAAGGGUACAUCAAUGUAUGAUGAGGUUGGUGAUGUUGUUAAUUUAAAUAAUUUUUUUCUUUGAUGUAAUUAAAUUUCAUUAAAAGAUAUUAGGCCAAUGCCCAAUUUACAUAAACAAUAUAAAAAAGGAAAGGACGUUGUAUGGCGGACUUGUAGCGGUGGAUUUUUGCCAUGACAAGUGCAGCACUUUUGAUGGCGGAUUUCCUCCAUCAAUUCAUUUAAUCCGCCAUUGCAAGUCUUGGACAAGCCGACCGAUUUUAUAGUUUACAGAAUUUUAAAUCCACUGAAUUUCAAAGACGUGUUAAAAAUAUUAACUGUAAGUAUAUAUAUAUGCGUGUGUGUGUUUAAAUAUUUUAGUUCUUUUCCAAAACUAAUAAAUUUUAAAUACGUAGAAUGAGUAUGAUUUCAUUCAAAGCAAAACGGGACAAAUUUAUAUCAAUAUUAAGUCGAAAAAGUUUCGUAGGAGCAACCAUAAUUUUUUGGUUAAACAACAUGACAGAGAUCCAAAUAUGACUGAAGAAGAAUUUUUUUCAAACUCUUCCGACUUUUGUCAGCAAAUCUCAAUUUCUGAAUAAAUUGAGACAAUCAAAAGCGGAGAGAGGAAAUGUGUGUAUAUAUUUAUUGAAAUUAAAAAUUCUCUCAGUUAUUAUUUCUUAUUUUUAAUUUUUUUAGGAAAUUUUCGAGAUAAAUUUCACAAAUCGAACGAAUCAAAUGAUACAUCACGCUGGUUCAAAAGGAUUAGCCCAACGACGCCAUGAAUUGGUAAUGAUUAAUAUUUUAUAUUGAAAUUAUUCAAAUACUAAUUGAUCAUGUUAAUAUAGAGAAAACAAUGAAGGGAUGAGCUCGAAGCCUGGCCGAAUCAUUAUCAAUGACAUGUCGGAGAAAAGAAAAAAUAGUAAGCUUUUUUUUAAUAAAUUAUCAUUUUUCUUUUUUAAUAUUUCAAUUUUAAUAUUUCUGCAGCGAGAAGCCACCAACUUUAUUCAAAGCCAAGAAGAAAAAUCUUUGGGUGAAACGAAAUCUAUGAUACCUAUUGUAAGUUUAAUUAAUUUAUAUAUAUUUUUUAUAUAUUCGAUUUACUAUUUAUCUAUUUUUUCAAUAAAACAAUUCAUCAAAGAUUAUGGGGAUUGGAGAAGUAGAGAGUAUGUUUAGUACGACCAACGAAAGAAUGGCGCCCCUGAUUGGAAAGAAAAAGGCAUCUCAGAAAACACUUUUGUAUCUAAUGACGAGCGUCAAAGGUAGUGGACGACAAAAAUGAACAAAAUUAAGUUAUUUUUAAUUUAUUUAAUUGAAUUCAAAUAUUUUUGAACUUAUUUAUAUAAUUAUGGAAUAUGUUUAAAAUUCCAGAACGUGCAAAAAAAUAGCACGAAGAAAUUAACCUUCUUAAGAACGCGCAAAAAAAGAAAUUAACCAUUAAUCUUUUUCAGAUUUGGAUUUGCCCUAGAAAGAACCUCUUCAAAUACCUUCGACUUCUCCAUUGAAAUUUCCAACUGAAAAAGAAAGAAGGAAAAAAUUAUUUAAAAUUAAGAAAUCGAACGACUAAAUUAACAAUAAACGGAUCUUGUUUUACCUUUGCUUUACAAACGAUGCGACCAGUUGUUUCGUUGCAAACUUUCACAGUUGAUGUUUUGAUAUCUUAUCAGAAAUAAUUAAAUAAAGAAAUUAAUUUUUAAUUUUUUGAUGAAUUCUAGAUAUGAAUCUAUCUUGUUAUUUUACCUUUCAACACAGCAAAAUUGUUAUUCUUCAGAAUCUCAGAUAUGCCAAUCACAGAUCCCGUCGCUAAAAAACGCCAAAAAGAAACGAUUAAUAAUUUUCAAUGAAAACAUAAUCAAUAAUAAUUCAUAAUCCUACCCAUUCCAAGUGCAGAUAAUUCAAUUUCUUCAUACUGCUGAAGAUAUUUCUGAAAAUCCAUGAUCAUCAGUUAGAAAAUAGCCAAAAAUAAAUCGUCGAAAAACAUAAUGAUCUGAACAGUACCUUGGCUAGAUUAACGUAGAAGUAUAUUGGUUUCUUUAUAUUAGAAACCUGGAUCCUAUUCUUCUUAUGCUCCACCUUUUCAGUGAUCUUGAAUUUCUUGAUUUUCUCUGCGAUUUCGUCAAUGGAUGCCAUGGAUUCGAGCUAGAUUUCGAAUUUUUCGAAUGAAAUCCUGUUAACAUCCAGAUGAAGAAUACUGAUAUAUAAACAGAUUAAAGAUUCGAUAUUCAUAAAAAAGAGAGACCAAUUUAAUUAGUGGUCACGAAAAAAAUCUAAUAAUAACCAAAUUCAUUUUAUUAUAUUAAAUCUAGGGAUUAUUAUAAUUAGCAAGUUUUUUUAGUGACCACUAAUUCGAUUGGACAUCCCUUACAUUUAUUUUAUAUAAAUACCAACAAUCUCAUUCAUCUGUGUUCUAUUAAAUUUUGUUGGUCUAGCUAUUUACAAGAUUACAGAAUUAAAAUGUGGCUCAAAUUCAUGGCAUUCGUUAAAGAAAUCAAGGAACAAAUCAGUAACACCAAGUUCAUAUCUAAAUCCCAGGCAUAAGAAGAACAUAAUUAGGGUUUAUAAGAAAAAUCAAUCAAUCUAAUGAUCUGAACAGUACCUUGGCUAGGUCAACGUAGAAGAAUAACAAAUGAUACACAAAAAAUAACUUUUGGUUGCUUGUGUUAUGCAACUACAAAUAAUAGAGAAUAUAAGUUCUCACCAAGCAACUACAAAUAAUAGAGAAUAUAAGUUCUCACCAAGAUCCUUUAAAGGAAUAUUCAUAAGAUAUCCCCCAAAUGUUAAAGGAUAUUUAAUACUAGAUCCACAAACUACAAACUUUCACAUUAGUAGAAAUGUGGUUUUUAGAGAAAACAUAUUUUCCUUCAAAAGUGAAGAAACAAAAGAAAACAUACAAAAUUCAGACUAACCCAAAAUUCAGAAAAGUUGUGGGUUCAAAAUGGAUCUACAAAAUAAAAUACAAACCCAAUAUUGGAGACAUUGAGAGAUAUAAAGGUAGGUUUGUUGCCAAGGCUUUACUCAAAAAAAGGAUUUGAUUUUUAUGAAAGUUUUGUUCCGGUAGCAAAAACAGUUCAUAUGUUCAACAAAGCAUUAGUUGAAAACAUAUUAAGAGCCUCUCUAAAGCUUGGAAUAACAAAUAUCUACUCCAAGACUUGAGAGGGGAGAAAAGGAAUCAAUUAGUAAAUUAAAUAAUUAAGAUCUCUAAAUUAACUUCAUUUUACUUUAAGUCUUUUCAUGUAAUUUGUAAAACAUUUUUGGACUUAAGUGAAAUAACAAAGUAAUUGAACAUUUUCAUAUAUGGGCCAAUAUUAAAGCCCAGUGAAAGAUAUUAACAUCAUACAACCCAAAAGCAAUGGAUCAAAUAUCUUGAAUUACAAUUAGUUGUUUAAAGAUCUUGAAUUUAAUUAGUUGUUUAAAAAUAAUUGUAAUUAGUUAAAGAUAACUAAAAGAUUAUAGUUGAUUAUAAUUAAUAUAAAUAAGGCUGUAAAUAAUGUUAUUUUAUUCCAAUGAAAUAAUAUUUUUUUGUCCACUUUGAUUCGUCACACAACGAUGGCAAUUCCCCCCCAAAUCUGACCGUCGUCCGCUCUGGCAGUUCGAUUCGACCAUCGUCGAUUAUCCAUCCAUGCAGGAAUUUAACAACACUAACCAAGGUGAUUGAUAUGAGGCUGUUCAAUUAUUCUGAAGUUGAGAAAGACAUUUGAUGCUUUGGAAAUUAAGAACCCUAGAAAUGGAUUUGGGAUCGAGAAGGCGAUGAUUCAAGGACGUUGGAGGCAAGCAAACCCUAUUCAAGAAGAACCGGUAGAAAUCAUUGGAUGCGAUGAUACUCAGCUUCAGAUGCCAUUAGUAUCAAGAUUAAUCCCACCAUUAAUCUUCUUCAAUUUGCCCUAGCAAUAACGUCAUCAAAUGCCUUCGACUUCUCCAUUGACAUUUCCAACUGAAAAAGAAAGAAGGAAAAAAUAUUUUUCAUUUGCUUUACUAACGAUGCGACUAGUUAUUUCGUUGCAAACUUCCACAGUAGAUGUUUUGAUAUCUUAUCAGGAAGAAUUAAAUAAAGAAAUUUAUAUUUAAUUUAUACAAUUUUGAAGAAUUCUAGAUCUGAAUCUAUCUUGUUAUUACCUUUCGACACAACAAAAUUAUUAUUCUUCAGAAUAUCGGAUAUGCUAAUCACAGAUCCCGCUGCUAUAAAAGCAAAAAAUAAACGAUUAAUAAUUUCAGAAUUAAAAUGUGGCUCAAAUUCAUGGCAUUCGUUAAAGAAAUCAAGGAACAAAUCAGUAACACCAAGUUCAUAUCUAAAUCCCAGGCAUAAGAAGAACAUAAUUAGGGUUUAUAAGAAAAAUCAAUCAAUCUAAUGAUCUGAACAGUACCUUGGCUAGGUCAACGUAGAAGAAUAACAAAUCACCCUAUGAAAUAAUCUAUAAUAAAAAAUCCAACUAUGAUACACAAAAAAUAACUUUUGGUUGCUUGUGUUAUGCAACUACAAAUAAUAGAGAAUAUAAGUUCUCACCAAGAUCCUUUAAAGGAAUAUUCAUAAGAUAUCCCCCAAAUAUUAAAGGAUAUUUAAUACUAGAUCCACAAACUACAAACUUUCACAUUAGUAGAAAUGUGGUUUUUAGAGAAAACAUAUUUUCCUUCAAAAGUGAAGAAACAAAAGAAAACAUACAAAAUUCAGACUAACCCAAAAUUCAGAAAAGUUGUGGGUUCAAAAUGGAUCUACAAAAUAAAAUACAAACCCAAUAUUGGAGACAUUGAGAGAUAUAAAGGUAGGUUUGUUGCCAAGGCUUUACUCAAAAAAAGGAUUUGAUUUUUAUGAAAGUUUUGUUCCGGUAGCAAAAACAGUUCAUAUGUUCAACAAAGCAUUAGUUGAAAACAUAUUAAGAGCCUCUCUAAAGCUUGGAAUAGCAAAUAUCUACUCCAAGACUUGAGAGGGGAGAAAAGGAAUCAAUUAGUAAAUUAAAUAAUUAAGAUCUCUAAAUUAACUUCAUUUUACUUUAAGUCUUUGCAUGUAAUUUGUAAAACAUUUUUGGACUUAAGUGAAAUAACAAAGUAAUUGAACAUUUUCAUAUAUGGGCCAAUAUUAAAGCCCAGUGAAAGAUAUUAACAUCAUACAACCCAAAAGCAAUGGAUCAAAUAUCUUGAAUUACAAUUAGUUGUUUAAAGAUCUUGAAUUUAAUUAGUUGUUUAAAACUAAUUGUAAUUAGUUAAAGAUAACUAAAAGAUUAUAGUUGAUUAUAAUUAAUAUAAAUAAGGCUGUAAAUAAUGUUAUUUUAUUCCAAUGAAAUAAUAUUUUUUUCUCCACUUUGAUUCGUCACACAACGAUGGCAAUUCCCCCCAAAUCUGACCGUCGUCCGCUCUGGCAGUUCGAUUCGACCAUCGUUGAUUAUCCAUCCAUGCAGGAAUUUAACAACACUAACCAAGGUGAUUGAUAUGAGGCUGUUCAAUUAUUCUGAAGUUGAGAAAGACAUUUGAUGCUUUGGAAAUUAAGAACCCUAGAAAUGGAUUUGGGAUCGAGAAGGCGAUGAUUCAAGGACGUUGGAGGCAAGCAAACCCUAUUCAAGCAUAUUCAAGAAGAACCGGUAGAAAUCAUUGGAUGCGAUGAUACUCAGCUUCAGAUGCCAUUAGUAUCAAGAUUAAUCCCACCAUUAAUCUUCUUCAAUUUUCCCUAGCAAUAACGUCAUCAAAUGCCUUCGACUUCUCCAUUGACAUUUCCAACUGAAAAAGAAAGAAGGAAAAAAUAUUUUUCAUUUGCUUUACUAACGAUGCGACUAGUUAUUUCGUUGCAAACUUCCACAGUAGAUGUUUUGAUAUCUUAUCAGGAAGAAUUAAAUAAAGAAAUUUAUAUUUAAUUUAUACAAUUUUGAAGAAUUCUAGAUCUGAAUCUAUCUUGUUAUUACCUUUCGACACAACAAAAUUAUUAUUCUUCAGAAUAUCGGAUAUGCUAAUCACAGAUCCCGCUGCUAUAAAAGCAAAAAAUAAACGAUUAAUAAUUUCCAAAGAAAACAUAAUAAUUCAUAAUCCUACCCAUUCCAAGUGUAGAUAAUUCAAUUUCUCCAUACUGCUGAAGAUAUUUCUGAAAAUGCAAGAUCACCAUUUAGAAAUAUUAGAUAAAAAUAAAUCGCUGAAAAACAUAAUGAUCUGAACAGUACCUUGGCUAGGUUAACGUAGAAGAAUAACAAAUCACCCUAUGAAAUAAUCUAUAAUAAAAAAUAGAACUAUGAUACACAAAAAACUUUUGGUUGGUUGUGUUAUGCAACAACAAGUAAUAGAGAACAUAAGUUCUCACCAAGAUCCUUUAAAGGAAUAUUCAUGAGAUAUCCCCCAAAUGUUAAAGGAUAUUUAAUACUAGAUUCAGAAACUAAAAACUUUCACAUUAGUAGAAAUGUGGUUUUUAGAGAAAACGUAUUUCCCUUUAAAACUGUAGAAACAAAAGAAAACAUACAGAAUUCGUAUCAACAAAAUAACAUAUAUAUAAUGAAAUAAUACUCGCACAUGAAAAUGAAAGGAAAAACGUAACUCAAAAAGACAAAAUCAAUUUGUCUACACAAUCAAAAUAUUCAAACUAAAAUAAAAAAGAGAAUACUCUCAUAGAACCAAUACGUUCUAAUCCAAGCAAAAAUGGUCAUACCCAGAACAUUACAACAUAACAUGAUUUUUUAGAAGAAAAUCUAAGUUCAACCUCAGAAAAACUAUUGAAUAAUUCAAAAGAGGAAAUAAAUCAAAACACAAAUCUAUCAGAUUAUAUAAAUAAUGAAAAAAAUAAUUCAUCAGAUAACCAAAUAAAUUCUGAUAAAUCAUCAGAAUAUCAAAUAAAUCAUAACCUAUCAAAGAAUCAAUCUGACAAAUACACAGAUCAAAAUUUAAACCAAAUUCAAAUAAUAACUGAAACUCAAAACAAAAAUGAUCAAACUUCAACAAACAUAUUACAAAGAAACAAUGAAGUUAUAAAUAAUAAAAUAACAAUGAACACCAUAAUAAAAUCUGAGAGAGAGGUAAAUAAACUAAAUAUUUUGAGAAUAACUAACUUAAAGAUGAUGGUUAAUAUAAAACAAAAUAUCCAAUGAGCAAUCAUGUCUCAUAUCAUAGAAUAAAUAGAAAUCAUAAAUAAUUUUUAAAACAAAUAACAAUCAAUAAUGAACCCAACACAUAUAAGGAAGCUUCAAAUUAAAUAAUCCAAAAUAGGUAGAAGCAAUGAAAAAAGAGAUGGAUGCAUUAUUAGAAAAUAACCUCCAUUUCAUCAUCCAAAUUGAAAGGUCUUCAUCUUCAAGCCAUGGAGAAAGAGAAGAAAGGAAAGCUUCAUUUUAUAAUCAUCCCAUACCUAGCCCCGGGCCAUAUACUCC